AGUUGCGCUGCAUCACGCGCGAGUACGUUGUCGUUGAGUGGUUCUGAAAUCGCUGCGUUAGGGGCGACUGCAACCACGCGUUGCGGCAAGUUACGGUGGGAUCUUCUGUCCGUGCUGUGUGAUUGCGACGAGGGGACCGCCGCCAGCAGCAGCGUAUCGCCGAUUUCGUCUUUGCCGACAUCGAGCAAGUGCAGCUCGCCGGACCGCCACAAGCGCCCGAAGCUGCGGUUUGCACUGCAUCUUUCAUUGUGAUAUGGGAGAUCGCAACGGACAGAGACGACCAGAUGCAUACGAACCACUACCAGCGGGGACCUGUGACUUGUACCAUAUUUCUGUUAACGUCUCAGGUAUUCAAGAAAUGGCAGCAGCCAGAAGUCGCCAUCUUAUCCAGCACGUUAUGGGUGAGACAAAUCGUAGCAGGCACUUUUGCAUAUCUCGUUAGCAUAUGAUGCUAUUUGUUGUAAUUUUUGUGUCCACUUUCCUGUCUUUAUGCAUAUUACUAUUAUUGUGCAAAGGGUAACAGUUUUACAUUGAGACAGAGUAAUCGCCCAAAGGGGAGACAUGGCUGGAGGAGACAACACACACAAGCCUCCCUUGUCCGUAUCUCUAUGUUGCGCAGUUACUCUGUCAUUAUCUACCAACAAGCCCAAAUUCCUCAUCAGCUACAUUUACUAAUGAUCCGUUAUUACAAUUUCAUUGACAUAACAUUGAAAGUACAGAGAUACACAGGAAGACAGACUUGAACUGAUGAAGAGCCAUAGAACAAGGAUCGCUGGAGUCAAUAUUUCGACAAAGAGAAGGAGAUUUUUCUUCUCAAAACAUUGGCUCCAAUGAAUUUUCUUGUUCUAUCACUAUUUAUGAUUAAAAGAAAGCAUUAUUGCUCUUGCUGAAGUAUUAUGCAUUAUGGCAUAAAAAUUAGCAGGGUAAAAUAUCAGGAAUGUCAAAAUUCUUGUAUAUUCCAGUGCUAGAGCGAAAGCCAGGAAAACAAGAUGUAGAGAACCACAUUUUUAUUUUUCACUGGCCAGUUUGGCCAGCUUCAUUCCGACCUUGCACUUUGUUGCAUUAACGACCACUGGAAUUCGUUAAUUGAAUUAGCUUAGCUUGGUGAUUUACUUAUAUUAAGAAAUAUUGAACUUGUAUUAAUGCAGCUUAAAUAAUGCAUGUAAAAAAUUUGCAAUGACAUUUUAAGGUGGCAGGCUUGCAGUUGACUAGCAGAUCACUUGAUGGUAUGAGCUCAGGUUUCAACCGAGCUUCCACGCACAAAUCAGUUGCACAUUUUUCUUUCAUUGUUUAGAUUUUCAUAAACAUAAGUACUGUUUCUUUGUUGUCGGGCUUCUAGUUGUGUCGUAGGACCUAACUGUUUACCUUUAUUUGUAUUGGUAGCCGUGUUACACAGACAGCUCAAUUUUUAUUGUAAAUCGUGACAUGGUAGGACUAAGAACAAUUGUGCAAAUUUGUUGCAGGUACACUCUGGCAGCUCCUACUCCUGCGUCCUACCACCACCCUGUCCUGACUACGUCCACUAGGGAGUUGGGAGCCUUUUGCGGCUUCUGCCACUGCGUCCUGCCGCCACCAUGUCCCAACUACGUCCACUAGGGAGUUGGCAGGCUUAGUGAUGAUGCCAGCAGGCUGACAGCCGACAGAAAGAUUCAGGUUGCCUCGAAAUUUUACCCAAGCCAUGCCGCACACUUGGGCCAAGCCUCUUGCGAACGACGUAUAACCAGGCUCAACACAUGAGUGUCGAGUGAGUGCGGAGGUCAAGGCAACCUGCUGUGCAACCAGCAUGCAACCUUUGGUGACCCCUCUAAUGUUCUACCUAUUUCACAGCUGUGCCUCACCUACCAUCUAUUGAAAACAGCAUCACCAUCUGUGAUCACUUAUCGAACCAUGGAUGAAUGUUGGGGUGGAGUGAUUUAAACAUUCUAUUUUUCUCUUCAAAUUCUUUGCAAAUAUUUCUGCUAUUAUAAUUCAUAUGUGUCUUUAGCACCUAGUUUUUAAUAGUUCCUUUCUCUUAGAAUUCUCACCAUCUACUCCUGCUAUUAUAAUGUAUACCUGCCUUUAAGCCCUGUUUCUCGUAGUUCUUUUGUACUUGUGGAUGUAAUUGAUAGGUUCUUAAUUCUUGUUAUACAGAAGGCCAAAAUGCCAACUGACGGCAUUUUUUCUUCCUUUGAUAAUCUACAGCACUGCAACGUGUUCAAGAAAUGUAACAUAACACGGGCUCUGGUGCAGGAUAAAUUUAAGAGCAAUGUAGAGUACUUAUUUCAAGCACCCGUUAUUUUUGAAAAACUCAAGGAUAUAGGAGCACAAGAAAGAAAAUAUUGAACUAUAGAAACAUGGCUUCCCCUCAUAAGUCUGGUAAUAAUGUGACUUCCUUUCACUGCAAAGAUACUGGUACUCGCAUACAAGGUUUUAGACAUAGAAGCUAUGAUACCCUUGGCAUUUCUCAGUGCUUAUUUGCCACACAGACGAAUGUCAAAGGCAGCAUAGGUUUAAUGCACACAUUGGUUGUAUUACACCUUUUCAGUAUUGCAUUUCUCAAACACUCAGGUUUGCAGCAGUGCUUUAAAUAGCAGAUGUAUUUGUAGUGCAAGAUUAAUGCUACAGAUCAUGUAAAAAUAAUUUUACAGACUAUAUGUCCAUGGAUGCAUGCUUCUUCUGAUCACGUAGCAGUGCCAUGUGGUUGGGGGAUGAAUGUCUACUUCAGAUUUAAAUAUUGGCUUCCAGGCCUGGUUUAGUCUCCUACACUGAGUAUUCUAGGUCAGAGCCUAGUUACUGGAGGAAAGUGAAUUAAACUAGGAAUUAUAAACAUCAAAGGUCUUGUUCGGGACACUAAUGUAACAAUCAGCAAGGUUCUUUGUGCAUUAAUUUCCAGAUUUGCGAGAUUAUAUUUUGACUGGUUUCAUUAAUGCGAGAACAAAUAUUUGUUUAUUCUCAUGCUAGAGUUGGCUGCCCCCAUUCGCAUACAACCCCUUUACAGGCUAAAAAUUCAGUGUAUUAAUAGGCUGUUUUUUGGUUUUGCGCCGUCAGUGUUAAGGGAUGCAAACGGUGACAUACAACAGAAUGCAAAAAAAUGUAAGGAAUGCAAGCAGGGCAUAGGGCUUUUUAGGCAGAUGCGUGCAUGUGCUAUUUAUAAAACUCCCUAUGGUAUGCCUCAAGGCAUUUUUAACCCUUUAGUAGAAACACUGACGCCCACUUAUUAAGGGGAAAUGCUCCUCGAAACAACUUUUUUUAUUUAUUUGUACUAGAGAUUUGAAUGUGCCGCCAUUAAUAGGGAGUUUUAUGUAGAUUUGAAUUGCCAUUGGUUUUUGUGUAGCUGGUGUUCUUUAGUUAUGUCCUACAUAGUGGCAAUAUAUUUUUAUGGGCACUUUCGUGUGUAAAAAGUUUCGCAAAUAGUUUCAUGCUGUAUCUUAUUUAGCUAGUUGUAUACUGCAAAGUGGCGAUACCUAUCCAAACAGCUUGUACAAUUACUGGAACUAUGCAAAAAUAUAUUAGGCCACUUUAAAUAAUUUUUACAGAUUGCAAUUUCAAUUAGAUAUCGGUAUUCUGCAUAUUUCGAAGAGUAUGUAUGCCAAAUUUCAUUUCUAUAGAACAAUUAUAAGUGCACAAGGUCAUUCUCAUGCUAUUAUGAGAAAAAAAUUAUUGAAGUAUUCCAAUUAUUUUUUUUCACAGAGUAUGAGAGGUAUGCAAGAUUAGUAGGCAGGCCUUCCUGCCUGCCUACUAUCUUGCAUACUUCUAGUAACUUUACAUGCUGUUUGAAUAGAUAUCGGCACCUUGCAGUCUACAGGGAGCUGAGUUAGCUGCAGCACACUGCUUUUUGUGAAAAUUUAAUACACAAGAAAAUGCCCGCAAAUAUCACUAUGUAUUUUGCCGUUGUGUACUGCCUGCCUACUAUCUUGCAUACUUCUAGUAACUUUACAUGCUGUUUGAAUAGAUAUCGGCACCUUGCAGUCUACAGGGAGCUGAGUUAGCUGCAGCACACUACUUUUUGUGAAAAUUUAAUACACAAGAAAAUACCCGCAAAUAUCACUAUGUAUUUUGCCGUUGUGUAGGGCAUAACUCAAGGAGCAGCUAAACAAAAAUUAAUGGAAUAUAUGAGAUCUGCAUGAAGAACUCUACUAUUGGCUCUCUUUUCAAACCUCUAGUACAAAUAAUAAAAAUAUUUCGAGUAAUAUUCAAUCAGCAAAAUGUUCCCCUUGCUACAGUGACCUACAACGUAGCGACGGAAAGUUUAAGGCAAGUCCUUUUGUCGAAGCGAAUCUGGGCUGUCUUCCCAAGAGCUUCUGUUAAAGACGGUGAAUUUUCCUGCAUUUGCCAGAAGUGCAAUACUAAAAUGUUUGUGAAUGUGCAAUUGGUAUUGGCACGCUAACAGAAAAAAAGACAGUUCUGUGAAAUGUAGACUUGAUUAUAACUUUGUUGGACAUUUAAAUUUUGACUCCAUAUAUUUAUUUUGUGUUUUGUACUGAGUGUUUCAGCGAUGAUUGCCACUAAUUAUUGAACAUAACUGCUUCAUGACAGUGCGACAAUUUUCACUAACAGAAAUUUAUAGCAGUGGCAGGCAUUAGAAUUACAGUACUCAAUAACGUCUACUUUGUAAGAACUCAGACUAGCACCACUUCUGAGAUACAGAUACCCAAAAAGUAAUGAUCAAAUAGAUUUCUCUUCCACGCAGAAUUGUCCCACAAGGCUUACAGGAGGCUUUUUGGCGAAGUAAUAUCUGAAAGAGCAAAGCCUGUUCCACCAAGUAUGGUGACAAAUAUUUCAGAGCUGUCAGUCUGAGGACUCCUACAAACUAACAAUACCUUCAGCGCUGACUAGCUUCAAUAAUGGGAUGUCAGCAUUUUGCUGAAAUUAAUGAAACUUCAAUUAUCGUGAUCUUGUUUAAGAAGACAUUUGAAAUUAACAUGCAGUUCUAAUCUCUGUCACUUUUGUAAAUAUUUCCCAAUUAUUUUUUCAGGCUACAGUUUUUGGUAAAAAUGGUAUUCAUUGCAGAAAGAGCUAGUACAUGGCAUUUAAUAAAAAAAAGGUACUGGUCAUUGUAGAUUUUGUGUCUUGAGCAUUUGUUCUGUUCCACCGCUCUUUCUUGAAAUCUGAAAUUAUGUACCCAUGUCUUUGUUAGCGAUAAACAGGGAAAUCUGUCAGUAUGUUUUGUUUAAAAUGGAGCUGAUCAACCCAAUAGUUAGGCUAUUUGCUAAUUAUAAAUUACAACGAUAGUAGUACAGGACCAUAAAAACAGAUUGAUUCUGAAUAACAGCUGUGCCCAGCUACAUCCACGCAGCUGUGCCACACAAUGUGCAUGUGUUCAGAAGAGAGAAAGCAACAGUAACUUAUUGUUCGUCAUCUUGUACAAGCAGAUUAUGCACCAGAUGUAAUUUAUACUCAGUAAAUACAUAAAUCAGUCAUGUGAGGUGUCUCGCUUUAGGUUGCAAAUUCGAACUUCUUGUAAUCUUGCUUGUUUUUAUUUUGUUUUCUUUGAGAGCAUGAGUGACUUGAUUGCCUUGGCACAUAUUGUCAAAACUGUUUCAUCACUGGGAAUCACGAAAGUUCAUUUAGACAUAAAAUUCCCAGUAACUGAUAUGGUAGGCUUCGACCUUAAUUCUCUUAUCUUUCAUAUGUUUAUCUACCAAGCAGUUGUAUCGUUCAUUGAGAUGUAUCCACUCAAUGCACAGUGGGAACCCAAAUUAUAAAUAUCUGUUCUUGCUUUCUACCCUGCUCUACAACAUAAUGAAGAUACAAAGCAAAACUAUAAGUUUGCAAUUGUCCCCCAUAACCAGAGUUUCGCUUAGAAUUUGAAAAACAAAAUUGACAUCCUGCUAUGGUGUGAGAGUUGCUUUGGGCACCAAGUGAACUGCGUAGCACCUGUGCUAGAGUACACAACAAAGCAGAAAAUCGCACCAGAUUGGAAUGGCAGUGGUAAGUUAAGAACAGAUGUUUUAUUUCACGCACCAUUAAUGUGGCAUAUCAUCUGCUCCUGUUUUGUGGGAACGCAUACAUUGGGAAGACAAUUUUUUGCACCAAUCUUACCUUAGCGGGACACCAGAGAAAGGUAGAAAUCAAGAACAGGUAUUCACACUUUGUUGCCCACAGUCUAUUAUCUAAAUGUGUUUCACUCUACAAAAGACUGCUGUGAUAGAUAAUCAUAAAGACAAAGACAAAAGAAUUAAAAGAGGUAUGUGUCAGUCAUCCUUCCAUGACAUCCAGUGUUUAGAGAAACACUUCUUUCUGUAUACAUAUGUGCCAAGCCGUAGGAAGGCUUUACGUAAAUCAAUCAUGCUUUCCAAGUUAAAAAUCGGAAUAAGGACAAUCACAAGAACAUUGUAUGAGUGAUUUGUAAAUGUCGCACCUAAUGUAACUUAUUUACGUAUGCGCUGAGGGCAGAUUACAGCCAGUGCGUAAUCUGCUCUUGCAGGAUAACUUGUGAUGAGUAAAAGAAACUUUCCUCACAUCUUCCUCUUUGUUUAUUUUGGAUGUUGGUGCACCAUGUAUAUUGUUACAGCUGCAUGCAUGCAGCUGGGUAUAGUUUAUGUGUUCUGCUCCCUCUCUUGUCCUCAUUAUUCAUGUGCUAUCUUUGCUGUAACAAAAUACAGCUACCUGUGCUACAUAUUUUGUCAGCGUGUUUGCGUUACGGCAAGUUUUGUAUUAGUGGUUAUUGCAAUCUGUGAAAUUGUCUGUGUCAGCUACUAUACUUUGUCUUGGAAGAGUACAUUUGUCAACAUAAAUAAACAAUUAGUAUAAAUGUUGCUGUAUUUAUUUUUGUAAUAUUAUCUGUUGUGAAGCUUUUAUACACUGUUGCAUGUUGUUUGACAGAAUAAAAUUGAUGCACAACUUUUUAA